rnacentral:rRNA from 1 species
UGGGGAAUAUUGGACAAUGGGGGAAACCCUGAUCCAGCCAUGCCGCGUGAGUGAAGAAGGCCCGAGGGUUGUAAAGCUCUUUCAGCGGGGAAGAUGAUGACGGUACCCGCAGAAGAAGCCCCGGCUAACUCCGUGCCAGCAGCCGCGGUAAUACGGAGGGGGCUAGCGUUGUUCGGAAUUACUGGGCGUAAAGGGCAUGUAGGCGGGUCGGCCAGUCAGGCGUGAAAGCCCCGGGCUCAACCUGGGAACUGCGCUUGAUACUGCCGACCUAGAGUCCGGGAGAGGGUAGUGGAAUUCCCAGUGUAGAGGUGAAAUUCGUAGAUAUUGGGAAGAACACCAGUGGCGAAGGCGGCUACCUGGACCGGUACUGACGCUGAGGUGCGAAAGCGUGGGGAGCAAACAGGAUUAGAUACCCCCGUAGUCC